rnacentral:rRNA from 1 species
ACAGGAUUCCCCUAGUAACGGCGAGUGAAGCGGGAAGAGCUCAAGCUUGAAAUCUCCGACACAGAUUGAGUUCUGUGCGGCGAAUUGUAGUCUAUGGAAGCGUGGUCAGUGUAGACACUCGAGUUAAGUUCCUUGAAAAAGGACAGCAUGGAGGGUGAUACUCCCGUCUAUCCUUGAGUGGCUUAUGCGUACGGCCCGUUUUCUUUGAGUCGCGUUGUUUGAGAAUGCAGCGCAAAGUAGGUGGUAAAUUCCAUCUAAAGCUAAAUAUUGGUGCGAGACCGAUAGCGAACAAGUACCGUGAGGGAAAGAUGAAAAGAACUUUGAAAAGAGAGUUAAAGAGUACCUGAAACUGCUGAAAGGGAACCGGAUCGUUUCUAGUGUCUAUAAUCUGUGGUAUAUUUCAUUGGCAAGUGUGUGUGUGCGUGUGCUGUGCGGCAGCGGCCUUUUUUAGGCUGCGCCCGGCGUGUGUGUGCAUGUGUUUGCUGGUGCCCUGUACUGCGGUGGGACGUCAACGUCAGUUCGUAUGCUGUGGGAAAUGACUGCUGAGGAGGUAGGGCUUACGCUUGCGUUUGUCUGUUAUAUCUUGGCGGACUUUGUCGUGGUUGGGACUGAGGUGCCUAUAAUGUGCUUAUACGAGUGGGUCAUGCGUCUCUGUGCGCGCUGUGUGCGGAUAGCUUGCUAUGCGUGUGUGGCUGUGUGUGGAUUGAUACGGGCUUUAACUUGUUGCCGUUCGGGACGUUGGCGAAAUGGAGCGAUCUGACCCGUCUUGAAACACGGACCAAGGAGUCUAACAUAUGUGCAAGUGUUAGGGUGUGGAAACCCCAGCGCGAAAUGAAAGUAAAGGACAGCGCAAGUUGUCUUAGGUAGGAAAUGCUGCGGGUUUCGGUCUGCGGCGUGGCACUAUCGACCGAUCAUGAACCUUCGUGGUGAAAGAUUUGAGUUUGAGCAYAUAUGUUGGUACCCGAAAGAUGGUGAACUAUGCCUGAGUAGGGUGAAGCCAGGGAAACUC